rnacentral:rRNA from 1 species
UACGAACGCUGGCGGCGUGCCUAAUACAUGCAAGUAGAACGCACAGUUUAUACCGUAGCUUGCUACACCAUAGACUGUGAGUUGCGAACGGGUGAGUAACGCGUAGGUAACCUGCCUGGUAGCGGGGGAUAACUAUUGGAAACGAUAGCUAAUACCGCAUAAUAUUAAUUACUGCAUGAUAAUUAAUUGAAAGGUGCAAUUGCACCACUACCAGAUGGACCUGCGUUGUAUUAGCUAGUAGGUGAGGUAACGGCGCACCUAGGCGACGAUACAUAGCCGACCUGAGAGGGUGAUCGGCCACACUGGGACUGAGACACGGCCCAGACUCCUACGGGAGGCAGCAGUAGGGAAUCUUCGGCAAUGGACGAAAGUCUGACCGAGCAACGCCGCGUGAGUGAAGAAGGUUUUCGGAUCGUAAAGCUCUGUUGUAAGAGAAGAACGGGUGUGAGAGUGGAAAGUUCACACUGUGACGGUAUCUUACCAGAAAGGGACGGCUAACUACGUG